rnacentral:rRNA from 1 species
GAUGAACGCUGGCGGCGUGCCUAAUACAUGCAAGUCGAGCGAACGGACGAGAAGCUUGCUUCUCUGAUGUUAGCGGCGGACGUGUGAGUAACACGUGGAUAACCUACCUAUAAGACUGGGAUAACUUCGGGAAACCGGAGCUAAUACCGGAUGAUAUUUUGAACCGCAUGGGUCAAAAGUGAAAGACGGUCUUGCUGUCACUUAUAGAUGGAUCCGCGCUGCAUGAGCUAGUUGGUAAGUUAACGGCUUACCAAGGCGACGAUGCAUAGCCCACGUGAGAGGGGGGUAGGCGACAUUGGAACGGGGACGCGGACAAGGGGCCUACGGUAGGGACCAGUAGGGAACCGUACGCAGUGGGCGAAAGUCUGACAGAGCAACGGGGCGUGAGUGAUAAAGGUGUUGGGUGCGUAAUACCCUGUUAUUAGGGAAGAACAUAUGUGUAAGUAGCUGUGCCGAUAUUGACGGUACCUAAUAAGAAAGCCCCGGCUAACUACGUG